rnacentral:rRNA from 1 species
UCGAACGAGCGAGAGAGAGCUUGCUUUCUUGAGCGAGUGGCGAACGGGUGAGUAACGCGUGAGGAACCUGCCUCAAAGAGGGGGACAACAGUUGGAAACGACUGCUAAUACCGCAUAAGCCCACGACCUGGCAUCGGGUAGAGGGAAAAGGAGCAAUCCGCUUUGAGAUGGCCUCGCGUCCGAUUAGCUAGUUGGUGAGGUAAUGGCCCACCAAGGCGACGAUCGGUAGCCGGACUGAGAGGUUGAACGGCCACAUUGGGACUGAGACACGGCCCAGACUCCUACGGGAGGCAGCAGUGGGGAAUAUUGCACAAUGGGGGAAACCCUGAUGCAGCGACGCCGCGUGGAGGAAGAAGGUCUUCGGAUUGUAAACUCCUGUUGUUGAGGAAGAUAAUGACGGUACUCAACAAGGAAGUGACGGCUAACUACGUGCCAGCAGCCGCGGUAAAACGUAGGUCACAAGCGUUGUCCGGAAUUACUGGGUGUAAAGGGAGCGCAGGCGGGAAGACAAGUUGGAAGUGAAAUCCAUGGGCUCAACCCAUGAACUGCUUUCAAAACUGUUUUUCUUGAGUAGUGCAGAGGUAGGCGGAAUUCCCGGUGUAGCGGUGGAAUGCGUAGAUAUCGGGAGGAACACCAGUGGCGAAGGCGGCCUACUGGGCACCAACUGACGCUGAGGCUCGAAAGUGUGGGUAGCAAACAGGAUUAGAU